UAGUGGGAGAGAGACAGAUUAUUGUCCGCCGAAGAAGCAAAUCUUUCAGGUAACAGGACCGCUAUUG
rnacentral:ncRNA from 1 species